rnacentral:rRNA from 1 species
GACGAACGCUGGCGGCGUGCUUAACACAUGCAAGUCGAACGCUGAAGCUCAGCUUUUGUUGGGUGGAUGAGUGGCGAACGGGUGAGUAACACGUGAGUAACCUGCCUCCUUCUUUGGGAUAACGCCCGGAAACGGGUGCUAAUACUGGAUAUUCACUGGUCUUCGCAUGGGGGUUGGUGGAAAGGGUUUUUCUGGUGGGGGAUGGGCUCGCGGCCUAUCAGCUUGUUGGUGGGGUGAUGGCCUACCAAGGCUUUGACGGGUAGCCGGCCUGGGAGGGUGACCGGUCACAUUGGGACUGAGAUACGGCCCAGACUCCUACGGGAGGCAGCAGUGGGGAAAAUUGCACAAUGGGCGCAAGCCUGAUGCAGCGACGCCGCGUGAGGGAUGGAGGCCUUCGGGUUGUGAACCUCUUUCGCUCAUGGUCAAGCCGCAACAAUGGUUGUGGUGAGGGUAGUGGGUAAAGAAGCGCCGGCUAACUACGUG